rnacentral:rRNA from 1 species
GAUGAACGCUGGCGGCGUGCCUAAUACAUGCAAGUCGAGCGAACAGACGAGGAGCUUGCUCCUCUGACGUUAGCGGCGGACGGGUGAGUAACACGUGGAUAACCUACCUAUAUGACUGGGAUAACUUCGGGAAACCGGAGCUAAUACCGGAUAAUAUAUUGAACCGCAUGGUUCAAUAGUGAAAGACGGUUUUGCUGUCACUUAUAGAUGGUUCCGCGCCGCAUUAGCUAGUUGGUAAGGUAACGGCUUACCAAGGCAACGAUGCGUAGCCGACCUGAGAGGGUGAUCGGCCACACUGGAACUGAGACACGGUCCAGACUCCUACGGGAGGCAGCAGUAGGGAAUCUUCCGCAAUGGGCGCAAGCUUGACGGAGCAACGCCGCGUGGGUGAUGAAGGUCUUCGGAUCGUAAAACUCUGUUAUUAGGGAAGAACAAAUGUGUAAGUAACUAUGCACGUCUUGACGGUACCUAAUCAGAAAGCCACGGCUAACUACGUG